AGUAACACAUUGGUAACCUGCCCCGAAGUCCAGAAUAACCUUCCGAAAGGAAAGCUAAUACUGGAUGUGAUCCCGCUACUUAUGUGGCGGGCGGAAAGCCCAAAAGGCGCUUCGGGAGGGGCUUAUGGCCUAUCAGCUUGUUGGCGGUGUAAAAGACCACCAAGGCUACGACGGGUAGCAGGCGUGAGAGCGCGACCUGCCUCAAUGGGACUGAGACACUGCCCAUACUCC
rnacentral:rRNA from 1 species